GGGCACUUGGCACAGGGGUAGCGCGCACGCUUCGCAUGAAGAUGUGAAUUGCGUGAGGUCGUGGGUUCAAAUCCCACAGUGUCCA